CCAAAACAAGUAAAAUAAAAAAGAACCAGAAGCUUCCUAAAAUAAUCAAAUCGGAAAUAAAAUAAAAAAAAAUCGACAGAAAAAUUAAUGAACCUAGAAAAAGGAGAAACCUAAACCACCCCCAGUCAUAUCUAAACGGCUGGACUCCAUAUCUUUUGAUCGACUUCUCAUAUCAAGUUGUCCACCCAUCUCUGACGAUAGCUUUCCAAAAAAUUAAAUAUUCAUUGCUAUCUUUUAAACUGUUUCAUUUCCUCUCGAGACUUCUCUUGUCUGGCCAUCUUGCCCAUCACCCUUCUGGCUCCAUGUCUUGUCGGUUUGAGUCUUCUUGCACUAGGUAAGAGAUUACUUCACUUUCUAAUGCUUCCUUUGCAACUUUGUGGGCAUACAUGUUUUCUCUUCUAUGUAUAUGUUUAAAGUCUAUUUUUUGAAAAUGGACACUCAAAUUCUGAAUAUAUCGUAUAAUCGCUCCUAUAGUGAAUCUGUCUUUUACUUUUGUUUGGCAUUUCCGGAUUACUAUUCUUGAAUCUCCUUUAAUUUGAAUUUCCUAAAAACCCAAUGAGAUUCCUAACUUUAUGGCUUCCAAUCCUACAAACGCUUAUGUCGCAAACGGAGAUGAAACAUUGUUGUGGAGGACUGUCUUCGAGGCUAGAAAUUCAUCCCUAUAUCCCCAAAGCACCACCCCUGACGCAGAUCUGAAGGUUCUCUUGUCAAACGCAGCAUCAAAAUGCAUGUUUACCUUUGGUAAAGUUUCUGGACAUCUGUGUAUUCUGGCCAAGUCUAGAAGAUUCUGUUUUAUCCUUAUUUCAUCUUGUUCCGUCUUUAAACUCAGUAUUUUUUGAGCAAGAUUUCCUCAUGAAAUAGAUAUUCUCUUAUGAACAAGCUGGUUCCUGGAAUACCAGAUUUGCCAUAAUACAUAGCAGAAGACCUGACACUGAUCCUCAGAUCCUUGCAUGAAUUAUAACACCCUAUACCCGUAACCCACACUGACUCGGAGUACGAAGCAUUGCCUAACUUUAUCUUAUGCAUACAACAGUCUCAAGUCAUCGAAACUUGGUCCAAAUUAAAACUUUUUCAAUUUCUACUUUAAACUUCUUAUUAUGGGCCUACAAGCCCUAAAUCGAUCAUUAAAAACUAUUUAGAAACUUUCCGAGUCCUUAAACCAGCCUUAAGAAAUUUGCCUUUAAAACAGGAGACACACCGGUGUGGAAGGGUAACAUGCCCGUGUGACCAUUUCGACAUGGUUGUGCUGAUGGUCUGUGUGGCUCACAUAGCCUAAGCACCCUGGGACACGUCUGUGUCCUAUACCCGUGUGGAAUUAAAUUCUAAUUCACAACUACAGGGGUUUUCACACAGCCAGACACACGCCAGUGCCAAUGUCCCGUGUCCCUCAGAGGGCCAGGACAUGCCCGUGUCUUAACCUGUGUACAAAAACCUGGGUGUUCUGUUUCUGACGUCAACAUCGCUAAAUUGUCACAUGGCCAAGGCACACCCCCGUGUACUAGGCCAUGUCCUCCACACGGCUGAGACACACGGUCAUGUUUCUAACCGUGUGUUUAUUAUCAUGUAUACUAACUUGAAAUUUUUACGUGCAGGGGACACACAGCCGAACUACAUGCCCAUGGGGCAAACCGUGUGUCACACACGGCCUAGACACACGUCCGUAUGUCUACCCGUGUGGACAAUAUAAGGCUAUUUGCCAAGCCUUAUUGCCACUCUUAUAUACCUAGUUCCAUGUAAAUUCUAACCAAUACCAAGACAAACACAAUUUCUAUAAUCAAACAACCACAACAGACAUUCAUUUAACCAUGACAAUAUAUCUUUUUAAAUCAAAAUGAGUGUUAGCCAUCAUUCAAGGCUUGACACAAAAUGAAGGGUUCCCAACCCAAGUCAUUACCAUUGGCCAAUUCUCAAAGGCACAACACAAUAAAGUCUAAGCCCUAUACAUGCCAUAUUCAAAAAUAUAAAUCCAACAAUACCGAUUGCUUCGGCUAAUAGUGUGAUCGAUAUCUCUGACUUUUGGUGAUCCUUGAGCUAGAUAGGCGGCACUGUAAGGAAAUGGAAAGGAAGAGGUGUAAGCAUAAAGCUUAGUAAGUUGCACAUAAAUAGAUAUACAACAAUAAGUCAACCGUUUAUCAACAACUGAUGAUACCAAAGUGGGCAUAAGCACGACUUACUCUUCACUUUAUACAAAUCACAUAGCAUAUACAAUAAGUUCACAUCUUAUACAUAUGUAACACUUAGGUACCUGUAAUACUCACAAUACGGUUAUACUUUCCUGAUUAACUUAAAUUUAUAACUCUUGCCAUUGAAUCAUUCGGAACACUAUCAGAUAUUUCAUAAGCCUCAACCAUGGGUAAGGUACUGAUGCCUACACUGGCUAUCAUCUUCGAGGCCGAUGCCAUGUCCCGGACAUGGUCUUACACUAGCUCUCACAUAUAUGUACCGAUUUUAAGUCCCAGACAUGGUCUUACACUGACAUAUCUCGUAGCCGAUGCAUGUCCCAGACAUGUUUUACACUGGCUUACGUUUCGAGGCCAAUGCAUGUCCUAGACAUGUCUUACACUAACACUCACAUACCUGUGUCGAUGCCAUGUCCCAGACAUGGUCUUACAUUGGCUCUCAUAAUGUGGCUGAUGCAUGUCCCAGACAUGUCUUACACUAGCUCACACAAAUGACCCAAGUGAUACGACAUGAAUAUCCGGUUUACUUCCUAAGGUCCCAACGGGGAUUCUACUAUCUCAAUGAUCAUUACACAUUCUCAAAUCUCGAAAUCAAGCAAUUCAUGCCAUAUCUAUUCAAUGAAAAUUUAAAUACGAAUAGUAGCAAUGUAGUUAUAUUAUUUACAUACAACUUACCUCGGAUUUCAAAAUGUAGCGACUACACGGUUUAGUCGAUUUGCUUGGCUUUCAUGUAGUCUUGGUUCGGAUUUGACAAUUCUUGAUCUAUAUUAGAAAAAUAUACCCGUUUAGUCACUAAUUACAAUUAGGCAAUUUAAAAUUCAUAUUUUCAGUAAAAUGACCAUUUUGCCUCUAGACUUUGGCAAAAUGACCAUUGUACCUCUAUGCCCGAAAAUCGAUUUUUAUCAAAUUUAUUCACUUAUUAAGCUUAGUUGAACUUUUUUUACUGUUAUAGAAACUUAAAAUUCUCUCUAUUUCACACACUUAUCACUUAUUUUGCAACUUGUGCAAAAUAGUCCCUUUAGGUGCUUUCAUGCUAACGCAUUUCACAAAAGUUGUUUAUAAGACAACCAAGACUCAUUUUCUUCCAUAAAAACUCAGCAAAAACUACAAAUCCAUUCAUGGAAAAACCCUAAACUCUUAAUCAUUUUGCAAAAUAGAACCCUAAUUUGAAAGCUUAUGCUUCAAGGAGUCUAAAAAUGUAAAAAUCCUUAAGAGAAACUAUCAAAAUCACUUACUUGCAAGUGCUUCAAGUUGCUGAAAAAUUUAAGCUUUCAAACCCCCUAUCAUGGCUGAUAUUUUUGGUGGAAAGUCAUGAGAAGAAAAGAAAUUGACAACUUUUUCUAUUUUAUUUCUUUUUGGUCAAAAUAGCUACCAAAUUUCCACCUAAUUUUGAAAAUUGUCUCCCCUAUGUCUCAUGGCCGGCUAUACUAUCAAUUAAGGGUCUAUUUUCCCAUUAAAGACCCCUAAUUUUGGUUAUCAAACAAAAUAACACCUUUAGAUAUCAAUUUAUGACUUUUACACUUUAUGCGAUUUAAUCUUUUUUUGCAAUUGGGCUCACAAACGUCAAAAUUAACUUACCAAAAUUUUCAUGUACUAAUAUAAACAUGCUAUGACUCAUGUAAGCCAUGUACAAAAUUUUCAUGUACCUAAAUCGAGCUGUUACAUGAAUACCCAUGUAAGUUAUUCCCAAAAAUCAGUAUAUAAGUAAUUGGUUACCCAAGAGAUAUCUAAAUACUACCAAACUUCAAUACUUGCAGGACAUUGCCUAAGAAUGUGAAAGCAGUCUUCUACCCCAUAGCAGCAUGAGGACAGCUGAAAUUCAUGACCACCCUUCUGCUCCUGAGAUUAACCAAUAUGGGUAGAUAAUUCCAGGAGAUGCGCCAGAUUGUAAUUGUUAUUUUCAUAUGCAGUUAUAGGCUCCAUAAUUUUCUGAAAUUUUUUUUAAGAUCAGCCUGUAAUAAAUUACUACUAGGAUCUAGAGUAGAAUCCUGUAAUAGUUUAUAGGCACUGCGAACGGAGUAUUCACCAGACUUUUCCCUUCCCUCCUCCAAACUUGACUGUCCUCGUGGCCUAUUUUUGCAAAAGGAAUCUAUAGUAUUUUUUGAGCAAUCUCUUCUUGGAAGGUAUUGUGGAUCAAUUCUAUUUUCCAUUUCAUACUCGAACAAUCAAUAAGAUUUGAAAAUAACUCCAAUUGCUCAUUAUUUGUGUUGUUUUGUCUAUUAAUUGUGUUUAUUCUGGGAACCCAACAGUCAUUCCAAAUAGAGAUUUCCUUUCCAUUCCUUACUCUCCAACAUAGCCCACUAUGAAGCAGUCCCUUUGAGGCCCAAAUGCUCUUCCAAGUGAGAGAAGGUAGACUUCCUAACUGAGCUUCAAGAAAAUUAGUCUGUGGAUAAUAUUUUGCUUUUAAAACCGUUUCUAAUAACGAAUUGGGAUAAUUAAUCAGAUGCCAUCCUUGUUUGGCUAAUAAAGCUAUAUUAAAUUAACCCAGAUUUCUAAAACCUAACCCACCAUUCUCUUUUAAACAGCAAAGUUUUUCCAAGUGUACCAAUGAAUGUCCCUACCUCUUUUUCCCUUUUGCCACCAAAAUUUCACAAUAAUAAUUUCCAUAUCAUCACAUAGAGUUUUAGGUAAUAGAAAACAAGCCAUCGUAUAAGUCGGAAUCGCUUGAAGAAUAGCUUUUAUAAAAACUUCCUUCCCCUCCUAGAUAAAUAUUUAAUGCUCCAGUUGUCAAUGUACUAUUUAAUUCGGUCCUUCAAAAUUUGAAAAGACUCCUUCUUUCUCCUACCCAGCAUGUUUGGCAAACCUAGAUAGCAUUCUGGUUCGCUUGAGCAUCAAAAUGAUAAUAAAUUAACAACUACCUGUUUAUCCGCCUCCGAUGUGUUUCUGCUGAAGAAAACAGUCGACUUCUCAAAAUUAACUUGUUGUCCCGAACAGCAUCUAUAUUCACCUAGAAUUUCUUUAGAUAAACUUGCACCCCUCAUAGAUGCCUACCAAAAAAAAAUACAAUCGUCCGUAAAUAAUAGAUGGUAUACUGCUGGUCCACUCCUAUUGGCCUUCACCCCUUUUAACCGUUCUUCCUUCAUUGAUAAUCUCAUUAAGCUUGAUAAACCCUCUCCACAUAAAAAUAGAAACGGGCUUAAUGGAUCUCCUUGUCUAAGACCUCUGGUUGGUUGAAAUUUCUCCCCAGUGAAUCCAUUUAUGACGACUGAAUAAGAAACAGAAGUAAUGCAUUUCAUAAUCCCCUCAACCCAUUUUGUAGCAAAACCCAUGCAAAUCAUUAUUCCUUUAUGAAACUCUAUUUAACCCUAUCGUAAGCUUUGCUAAACAGAAGUAAUGCAUUUCAUAAUCCCCUUAACCCAUUUUGUAGCAAAACCCAUGCGAAUCAUUAUUUCCUUUAUGAAACUCUAUUUAACCCUAUCGUAAGCUUUGCUCAUGUCCAAUUUAACUGCCAUAAAACCUUUUCUUCCAUUCCUUUUUUGUUUAAGCGUAUUUAGGAUUUCAUAUGCUAGCAACACAUUAUCUGAUAUCAAUCUACCUGGCACAAAAGUGCUUUGCACUUCAUCAAUACAUUUCCCAAUCACAUCUCGAAAUCGAUUCGCUAUAGCCUUCGCCAAAAUUUUAUAUAAGACAUUACAUAGACUGAUCGGACAAAAGUGCGUCAUAUUCAUGGGAUUAGAAUUCUUUGGGAUAAACAGAAUAUUAGUAGAAUUGAACGAACUCACCUCCAUAUACCGUUUAGAAUUUGUAGACAAAAAGAAGUGACCUCAUCUCCAAUAAUGUACCAACAUUUCUGAUAAAACAAGGCUGGUAAACCAUCCUCUCCUGGUGCCUUUAUUGCCCUUAUCUCAAAAACCACUUCUCGAAUAUCUUCACUUGUCUAAGCUGCUAUCAGGUUUAAAUUAUCCCCUUCAGACACACAAGGGUCAAUAUCAGACAACACAUAAUCAUAGUUCCUUUUUUCUCCAGCUGUAAAUAAAUUAUGAAAAUAAGACCUUGCAACACCUUCCAUUUCAUACAGCACUUCCAUGUCCCUACCUUUAUCAUUCUGCAGCUUAUGGAUCAAAUUUUUUCUUGUACGUUGAGAUGCUAUGCUGUGAAAGAAGCUGUAUUCUUAUCCCCAAAUUUCAACCAAUUAAGUCUCACCCUCUACUCCCAGUAACGUUCAUCUUUUUCAAUUUCAAGAUUUAAAUGAAUUCUCGUAUUGAUCAUCUCCACCAUACAUUCCUCAUCUCUAUCAUUGGCCAUCAGUUCAGCCAACUUAUCUGUAAGAGCCUGUCUCCUCCUCCUUCGAUUCAUUUGAAUUUUCCUUGCCCAUUGACUCAAGCCUUUCUUUAAAUUAUCCAAUUUCUGUAAUAGUCUUCCUGAAGACAACCCCCAUAAACGUUUGACUUCUUUAAAAAAAAUAUCCUUCAAAACCCACCAGGCUUCCAAUUUAAAAGUGUUACUCCUCAGUCAAUCUUUACCCAUUUUUGUAUUAAUCAAAAGUGGACAAUGAUCUGAAAAGGAAUGAACUAAGUGUUGCACCUUAACCUCUAGGAAUAAAGAAAUCCAAUCAAUAGUAGCAACUCCUCUAUCCAACAGUUCUUGUAUAUUUGUCUCUGAUAAAUUGCCUCUUUCCGACGUAAACCAUGUGCUAAAAAACCCCACAUCAACCAAUUGACAGACUUCUAAAGUUCUUUGAAACAGCUCCAUUCUUCCCUCAUCUCUAGGUAGCCCUCCCUUUUUCUCAAACACAUACAUAAUUUCAUUAAAAUCCCCACAUACAAACCAAGGGAUAUCCUCCACGUCGAUCAGACUCUUCAACACCCUCAAGUGUCAUUCUUGUCUUAUGCAUAUAGGGAGCUAUAAUAACCCAUAUAUCUCUAUUUGACUCCAACGUCAUUGUCAUCAACAAGCACAUCUAUAUGUCUUUUGGAAAACGGUCGAACUGUGAAAUUAACCACCACUUUCCAAGCCAAACAUAGACCUCUUCUAGUACCUUCAGCAUCAACCUCAAUACCAUUCUGAAAACCACAGCUUCGUCUAACUCGCUCCAUCUUCUUUCCACAAAGCUUUGUCUCCAUGAAGAAGACAAUUUGGGGAUUGUAUAACUUCAGCAUAUGUCAAAGACGUUGAACCGUCCAUCAAGCCAAUUUAAUAUUUAAAUAUGCUAUUGUUGAGAAAGAAAAAAAAACCCGUAAAGAUAAAGAUCUAAUAAGUUGAUAUACCUUUCUUGUUUGACAUUGAGUCUUGAUGAUCUUACCAAGAAGUAAGCAAAUAAAGAUCUAGUAUUAUACUUUGAAUGCAAUCAAAAUUCAUCAAUAACAGAAUCUCAAAAUAACAUAUAUGAUACUAAUACACCCCAACGUUAAGAACACUGAAUCAAAAUUAUACCGAUAUCAAAAUAUUCCAAAAACACAUGUUGUCUAAAAUUUAGAAUAUAUAUAUUCAAAUUGAAACAAUCAAAUAAACACAUAAAACAAUUAGUUUAAUGAUGACUAAGGACCGAUGCGAAGUCAAAUAUUAUAAUGAACCUUAGGCCUUAAUUAAUAAAAUUGAUCAAUAAAAUUAUGGAUCGUUAUUUACAAAUCUAUCAAUUUAUAAUAUUAAAAUUAAUCUAUCAUCAUUCAAACAUAAUCACCAAGCAAUUAUCAAAUAGCAUAUAUUAAGAAAAAUAUUUUUUUAUGAAAAAACAUCUAGGUACAUAUAAGCUUGUGAUGUGAUAAAUAAAUUUACUUAAAUUCCUUAUCUUCUACUAAAGUUUCAAUAGCACGACAAGCAAUCCAUAAAUUUUGACAUUAAAUUUCUUUUAAUCAAAAUCUAUAUUGAGAUCAAAUCUUUUACCAUCCUUAAAAUUUAGAAGUAAAUUAAAUUAAAUUAAAUCAUCAUAAUAAAUAAGUCUGAUCUUUAAUAGAUAAGUAUAAUAAAACUAAGAGAAUUAUAGUAAGAAUAAGAGAGAAAAGUAGACACAAAAGUGAAACUAUAAAUCUAUUUUUCUUAGAUUCAAUAAGCUCGUACAUUCCUUUUAUUUAUAGGGUUUCAAUCACUAUAUGUUACAAAUAUAUAAUAAAGAUAAUUAAAGUACCCUAAAAAUUCUUUAAGGGCUAAAGAGUUACAAAAGAAUGAUUUUGAAGAUUCUGAGAGUUAUAUGGACAUCCAUUUAUCAAUGGAUUUAUAACAAAAAAAAAUAAUGAUGAACAUAAAAUAUUUUUAAUACAAUCAUUAUAUAUAUUAAAUAUAGACUAAAUUAUUAAAAUAGUCACUUUUGUUUCCCUUAAAUUACGUUUUAGUCAUUUAUGUUUAAAAUGUUACGUUUUAGUCACUUAUGUUAACGUGUUCUAACAUUUUAGUCACUGAGUCGUUAAUUUCCGUUAACGGUGCAACAGUAAGCUGAUGUGGAACGUUCAAUCAUCAUUUCAAACAAAAAUUUUAGGUUAAAUUAUACAAUUGGUCCCCAUAUUUUUUCGUUUUGAACACUUUUUUUCUUUUAUGUUCUUUUAACUUUCUUCUUCUUCUUUUUUUUCUAUUCUCUUCUGCUUCUCUCUCUAUUUUACUCUCUUCACCAUCUCUUUUAACAUAAAAGAAAAAAAUUAAAUUGUUCAAAAUGAAAAAAAUAUAUAAAUUAAUUGUAUAUUUUAACCUAAAAUUUUCGUUUAAAAUGAUGAUUUAAUACUUACCGUUACACUGUUAAUGUCAACUAAUGCUUAGUAACUAAAAUGUUACAACACAACAUAAAUGAUCAAAACGUAACAUUUCAAACAUAAGUGACUAAAAUAAAAUUUGAAGAAAAUAAAAGUGACGAUUUUGGUAAAUAAAAAAAAUAAAUUUAAUGAUUAUAUCAAAUAUAGUAUUCUUUUAGGAUAUAAAUAUAGUUAAAUUUGUGUAAGCAUGUUUGAGAUGAACCAAUCGGAAUCCAGAAAAAUAAUAAUAUUCUCAUAUUUUCAGUCAUUCCUUUUAUAAACAUUAAAAACAAAGGAAAAUGGAAUAUUUGUUUAGAUUAAACCUGGGAUAAAGUAACGUUUUCAAAAGAAAAUUAUUUAAUUUAGAUUUAAAUAAUAAUAAUGUGUUGCUAAUAAAAUUUAAAGCAAAUUUAUGAAAUAAAAAUUAAAUAUUAAAAAAUACAAAUAUCCAGCACAAGAAUUGAGAACAGCCACUAAACUAGAAAGAGAAACCAAAACUAUAUGCUUACCAUUACGAAAUACCAAGUCCAAGAGGUAAUUAUUUCACUAAAUCUCAACUCCAAAU
rnacentral:lncRNA from 1 species